UACGAAGGGGGCUAGCGUUGCUCGGAAUCACUGGGCGUAAAGGGUGCGUAGGCGGGUCUUUAAGUCAGGGGUGAAAUCCUGGAGCUCAACUCCAGAACUGCCUUUGAUACUGAAGAUCUUGAGUUCGGGAGAGGUGAGUGGAACUGCGAGUGUAGAGGUGAAAUUCGUAGAUAUUCGCAAGAACACCAGUGGCGAAGGCGGCUCACUGGCCCGAUACUGACGCUGAGGUGCGAAAGCGUGGGGAGCAGAGGAGUA
rnacentral:rRNA from 1 species